rnacentral:rRNA from 1 species
GUCUACGGCCAUAGCACCCUGAACACUCACAAUUUUGUCUGAACUUGGAAGCUAAGCAGUGUCAAACCUGGUUAGUAUUUGCAUGGGAAAUGAAAACAGAGAGACACAGAGA